CAGUGUGCGGGUCAAGCUCCUCUCUCCCAACACGUCUCACGAUGGAAACAUAUGUGAAGGCCUACAUUUUAAACUAUCAUGUUGUCUAUUCGGUGUCAGACAGACAGUUUCUGACUUUCUAACAUCUAAUACAAUUAUCCAGUCUCUCCCUCUUCAGCGUGCUACGCAGGCAAGACCCAGAAAACUGGGCACAUGUUCAUUAUCUAGGCAUUUUGCCAAACUCUUUCUAGCACUCUACCUGGCUAGUAUCUUAAAUUACAGGAAUACACGAGAAAACAGUAGAAUCCAGUCGCAGUUGUACAUGCUACUUCACCCGGUCAGCUUCUACCCUCCAAACCGCCAAAGAUGUAUCCCUGGCUGGAACAGAAAACUUAUCGAGACAAACACAGGCCAUUUUCCUGCUCAGCGCACAUUUCCUCCUCCCAUCUCUUCUUCCUGAGCGUCUCACUUCCCUGUGACAGCUGCAGCCAGCAUUACGAUGCUCUGAGCCUGCUUCACUGAGGGCAUGUCGAUCAUACUGCCCCGGAGGUGAAGGCACCCUGGAGACAGGAGAAGAGAAAUGAGUUCUGUAGCCAACUAGACCCUCUCCUGACUGGGGGAGAACUCCUCCUGCACGGCCUGGACCUGUUUGGGAUGGAUCACCUGCUUAGCUGUAAAGGGAAAAUGAGAAUACAUUCAGUGCAUUCGGAAAGUAUUCAUAUCCUUUGACUUUUUCCACAUUUUGUUACAUUACAGCCUUAUUCUAAAAUUGAUUAAAUCGUUUUCCCCCCUCAUCAAUCUACACAUAGUACCCCAUAAAUUACUAAGUGAAAACAGACGUUUAGAAAUGUUUGCAAAAAUAUCACAUUUACAUAAGUAUUCAGACCCUUUACUCACUACAUUG